rnacentral:rRNA from 1 species
GGUGAACGCUGGCGGUGUGCCUAAUACAUGCAAGUCGAACGAACACACGAUAAGAUCUUUCCCCUGCCGGUAGCGGCGGACGGGCGUGUAACACAUGGAUAGCCUUCCACUAAUUCGGGGAGAACUUCGGGAAACCGCUGCCGCUACCAGCUCAUAUAACGUACUGGUUGGUGCAAUAGUGAUAGACGGUUUUGCUGUUACACAGAGAUGGUUCCGCGUUGGCUUAGCUAGUGGGUAAGGUAACGGCCAACCAAGGCAACGAUGCGUAGCCGACCUGAGAGGAUGAUCGGCCACACUGGAACUGAGACACGGUCCAGACUCCUACGGGAGGCAGCAGUAGGGAAUAUUCGGCAAUGGGCGAAAGCCUGACCGAGCCACACCGCGUGGGUGAUGAAGGCCUUCGGGUCGUAAAGCUCUGUUGUUAGGGAAGAAAAGCUGUGUGUGGAGCCACGCCCGUCUUGACGGUACCAAACGAAAAAGCGACGGCUAACUUCGUG